rnacentral:rRNA from 1 species
GCCAGCAGCCAUAUCACCCUGCAAUGCACAACUGGCAACCCGCUGAAGUUAAGCAGUUGUGAGCCUGUGAGUACCUGGAUGGAAGAUCUCCCGGGAAACACUAAGGUUGCUGCUGAAA